UUUAAUCAAAGUCUCUGUCUGAAGACCUUUUUGCAAUGCCGUGGGUACAAAUGCGCUGAAAACGUUAAUAAUCACAGGCUUUGUCUAAAAACCUUUUGCAAGCCGUGAGGUACUAAUUUUAUGAUUCACAGUCCUUGUCUCAGGACUUUAUUGCAAGCCGUGGGUACUCACAUAGUGAAUACUUUUUUUUCAAUCACAGUCUCUGUCUAAAGACUUGUUUUUAAGCCGUGGGUACUAAAUUUUGUCACACUUUGCAUCCUUAAACAUAGAGCUGUGGGUAAGCAAGGGAUCUGAUUUAGAUUUAGAGUCUUUGUCUGAAGACUUCUUUCAAACGGUACAUACCAAUGUUGUCUAAACCCCCUUAAUAAAGCCGUGGGUAAAACAAGAUUUUCCAAUCACUUUGAGGAACUUGUGAUCGUUACUUCACACAAUGGGACUGGGGACAAUUAGUUUUCAUGACUUGUGAUCGUUAUUUCCAUUCAACAAGUUCAAAAACAAUUCAUAUCCUUUGUGUUAAUGUAUCCUUCCAAUGAUCUUAUAGUCUUUAGACAUAGUCAUUUUCUGUCUAAAGACAUUUUGUAAGCCGAUGGUUAUUUUUGUAAAGCCGUGGGUACUAAAGCAUAUUUCACUUUACCAUCCCC
rnacentral:lncRNA from 1 species